CAGUCCACAGCCUGCUCACGGCCAAAUAGCAUGCUGGUGAUUUAGAAGCUACAUAGAAGUUACUCCUUGAUGCCAAAGUAUUGAUUUAGGCAACGACACUUCUAUUUAUGGGAAAGGGAAAAAGAGACAAGAAGAAGGUAUCUAAAUGGGAGAGAUUAUUUUAAUAUUAGCUUUCAUGCAGGCAGUAAUCCUCUCAUUUCUGUCAGGCAGUUGAACACUCUGCUUGAUAUGCAAAAUCGAGGAUAUAUUCUGAUGUAGAUUUCAGAGAGUAGGAAAUGAGGUUAUUUUGUUUUUCUUUUGAAAUAGCACUGGGCAGUUUCAUUUAUUUCACAUACGAAAUGCUGAAGGCUUUGUAAAAUUAUUUUAUACUUUAUUAAUAUUCUAAAAGGGACAGAUCUCUUCUUUCCAAUUCAAAGUAGUGGAUAAUGACUUUGGCAGCAUUUCCCUGCCUUUUUCAAGUUUAUGGAAGCCCAUUUCUCAUCAUUAGGCUGAAGAUGUAGAAUACAAAGGAUGAGCCUUUUUCUGGAGUUUGUCACAUCAGUGUUGCUACUUAGGUGAUUAGAAAGAAGCAGCGGGAUCUUGGAGAAAACGUCUGACAAAAGAACUUGAUCUGCACCUAGUAACUCAUUGGUCUUGUGGCUGCCUCUGGAUUCAUGAGUAUGGUGCCUAGAAAGAAAUAACCAACAAAUCAAAGUCUAUUUCAUUGAUGCACAUGUUGGCACCCUUUGAAAGAUCCAGAAAUCCACAUGUUGAACAUGAAUCUAGGGCUGCGGUUGCUGCAAAGGAAAAAUGCUUCUGAAGAAAGAAACCUUUCAUCCCAGCCUGUGAUAAAGCCCGAGAAUUUUAGGUCUCUACCAAGGAACACUCAAAUACACGUUCUGCGAUGACCUCCUGAAAAUUAAUUGCAGCUUCAGGAAAGUGAAACAGUCUUAUGCAGAUCCUGGAAGAUACCAACUCCUAGGGCUAGCGCAGCAUCUUAUUCACCUUGGCAUCUACCACUGCAUGGAGCACAGCACCUAUCACCUAGUAGAUUCCCUUGGGGGUUACACACAUCCUGUUCUAAUUCCCCCGUUCCUUGGGGAAGCACUCAGCCUGUGACGGACGGGAAGAGGAGGGGUGCAGGCCCGGAGCCCCACGGGCAGAGCUGAGGCUCCUCUGCGUCUGUGCUGCCCACUUGGUCUUCUCUUUUGCCCAAGUCCAUCACUCAUGUGCACCGGAAUCUUCCGAGUGCCGCCCACUGACCCUUGGUAAGAUUCCAUUUCUUACUUCCCUUCACUGUGACUUUCCUUGGCCAGCUCCUUAUCUUUUUAACAGCCUUCUACCAUCUGGGAGUCCUUCACGCCCGUGCUGCAAGAGAAUGCUGGCAAUGGCUGGGCCGAGAAAACUGAAGUAUGGAAAAUGGGAGUGCUAGGAAGGGAGGAAUACCAACCCAGACUGAAAAACAAUAGGCUCCUGCAUACUUCAGGAUUUUAGGUCAUCAGGAAAUGUCUUUCACCGUUAGCCCUUUUCAAACAAUCACAACAAAUGAUCAUUUUAUACUAAUUGUCCCACAAGGAACACUGCUUUUCAAGUGUUCUUCCAUGUACUCUCUGGCAGUCAUGCUAAUCAGCGAAGAUAUUGACAAAGGCCGACCAAGGAAGAAGGAGACCGGAUGAGGGAGUCGCAUCAUUCCGAUACCCACCUGACCCCUUGACUGCUCAUGCAGAAACAGAGACCUCUCCUCUGCAGUCUGCGUCCUCUCUCUUUAUUCCUACAUCUUCUUGGAAAUACCUUUCUUGAACUUGAAGAUCCCCUCGAGAUAUUAUUUUCCAGAUGAAGGACUUAUGCUGGAGUCUUUAAUUCACAAUAACAAGAAGAUGAAACAUUGUGUGCCACCUCUGGACUCAGUGCCCUUGUGUUGGAAGUUGGCACAAGACGGACACUGUUCAGCUCACCUCUUCCACUCCAUGUUCAGCUCUAGUAGCUAAGUCAGGCUGAACACUGCCUCCCCUGGCCACUUGCCCAGGUAAACUGAAAAGACAAUCAAAAUCAAGUCGAUGUUGCUAAGAGAGCUCUCUAACAUGGAGCCGGGCGGCCAUUGAGGAAGUGGGACUUCUGCACGUCUCAGCGUGCACAAAAUCUGGUGUUUUGAUCACUCAUUGUCCUACUCAAGAUACCUAUUGGAUCCUUACCCUAAAAUAACGUGACAGCCUAUCUAUUUAUCAAACCCUUACCCUAAAAUAACUUGUGAUUCCUUAAAGGACAAGUAUCUCCCGACCUGCAUCAGAGUCAAUCACAAUUCUCGCCUGGCAACUUCAACUACCUUGUUAAAGACUUUUUCUCUUUCCCAGAAUACUCUUUCAGUUUUACCUGAAUCUGUGUCUUCUGAAUUGCAGUUCUUGAG